AUUUAACGCUGGCGGCGUGCCUAAUACAUGCAAGUCGAACGCAGUGGGGACGGGUGAGUAACACGUGGUUAACCUCCCCAUCAGAGGGGAUAACACUUGGAAAUAGGUGCUAAACCGAUACUGUUAGAUGGACCCGCGGUGCAUUAGCUAGUUGGUGAGGUAACGGCUCACCAAGGCCACGAUGCAUAGCCGACCUGAGAGGGUGAUCGGCCACACUGGGACUGAGACACGGCCCAGACUCCUACGGGAGGCAGCAGUAGGGAAUCUUCGGCAAUGGACGAAAGUCUGACCGAGCAACGCCGCGUGAGUGAAGAAGGUUUUCGGAUCGUAAAACUCUGUUGUUAGAGAAGCGGUAUCUAACCAGAAAGCCACGGCUAACUACGUGCCAGCAGCCGCGGUAAUUC
rnacentral:rRNA from 1 species